CCGGGUCGUGGUGAUCUCGCCGACAUGUAGUUAGAGAAAACGAACUUCAGCCAAAGUCAAGGCUGACCAGAGAGCACUUCCAAACAGAUGGAAGUGGGGGCGCAGGCAACAGCCUGAGCAGCGGUGCGAGCUGCCUCUUGCUUCUGCGCUGCUCGCUGCUCGGUGCACAACAGAGCAAACCGGUCUGGUUCGUGCAAACGUGGCCCCGACUCCAGCGGAUCACCCGCGGGACAACCUCUGCCCGGAGACGGCCGACUGACGCAUCUGGCCUCAAGUCCCUAUUCAGUCUUUCAGCUCAGCGGCAACCAGACAUUUGGAUUUCAUACCUGGCAAAGUUUUCUAAAACGUUCUUGGGAUCCACAUAGGGUUGCCAACAUUUUCUUUUGUCAAAUAGGACAUGAAAAAGCCGCAAGUCCUACCACCUGUUGCAAGCACUGUGUCACGAAAGGAUAACAAGUAAAAUAAAGGAUAACACUGCCU